rnacentral:lncRNA from 1 species
GACGAACGAUCAAAAGGGAAAAUGUGUUAUUUCUUUCAAUCCAUAGAGAAGCCGUGAUCAACAAUGUUCCACACAAGAAAACGUUCCAGCUCCUCAAGAAAAGGAAAACAUCCAAAAUAAAAAUAUCUAGCAGUGAAGUGUAACGGUUCCAAGCUUUUUAUUCAAUGGAAACUCUAAAGUAAAAUCAAAAAUGCUGCAGCCUUGCACAAAAAGAAAAAAAAGGAAAACUUGAUUCAUACAUUCAGCCAACUUCAAAAACUGUGAGCUCCAUUCUAAAGUAAAACGUUCCAGACCUUUCAAAAUUGUGUGGCUGUCGAGAGAGAGAGUCCAAGUGUGAC